UGGCCUCGCCGUGUUGAGUUUCCAAAGCAGAGAAGCAAAACUUGGAUUCCAGUCAGGUGCUGCAGCUGGUCGGAGCCAGCAGAGGGGAGGCGAGAGCAGAGAUUCUGCUUUCUCCCACUUUGCACAUUUCAGGCUGUUACUGGGAGACUUGGAUGCUUUCCCUUGAGCACCUUGACUGCAGAGUACCACUGGGAAAGAUGGACAUGACUUCAGCGAGGGCAAACUGUCCUGCUUGUAAAAGACUGUGGGAGCAAGUGAGCAGAGCCUGUCCACUGUCUGCAGCCAGGGAAAGAAACAAUGGCAGGGGCUUUACUAUGGAUGAAUAGUAUGUAGCUG